GUUUAUACAGUCGUCCAUUGAUCGGCGUAUCAAUUGUGGCGCAUCGAAAACUCAGUCAAAUGAAAAUGAAAAUCCAAAAUGAAAAUGACAAAAUACUUCAUAAAACAACAACGAAAAUAGCACUAACAACGAAGUCAUGCAUAAAAACUAUGCCAACAAUUUCGGUUAAUAAUAGCAACACUGCAGGCCACUCAUAACAGUAGAACAUCUCCAGGUCAUUGCAGAGCAGAUAUUUCAUUUUGAAGGCAACACAAACAACAAAGCGCAUAUACAAGGAAUAGAGCAACAAAAGUAGAGGAGAAACCCAAUGAAUCAUUGAAAUCGGCUCAAUCGUAAGAUGCAAUAUGCGCACAAAUACUGGAAAAUUGAUACAAAUAGCAAGGAACCAUCUAGGAAUUGAGUUAUUUCUCAAGCUUCCGAUCCUUUUUGAGGUUCUAAAGGGUUGCUUGAAGUAUUGGCUUGGAGGACUUUGCUUGAGCUAUUGUAUUUACUUUGAUGUUGACCAAUAUGGCAGCAAGGAUCUUAUAUGAAUAUCAGUAUUCGGGAAUUAAGUCUCCGUUGGUACACUCCUCAUUAUUAUUGGUCUAUGUAUGGAUGAGGUUAUUAAUAACGACUGAUAUAUCAACUUUGAACUACAAGAACCAUCUGAUACCUGAAUAUUUUACGAAAAUGACGUCGAGUAGGCAAUUCUCUAGUUGAAUAUCAACUAUUGACAAAACGAUUCUUUCAGCUUCGUGACAAUCCGAUAGCAGGGCGGCGAUGUUAGCCUCGAGUUCACUGAUUGUACACACAAGACUGGUCUGUGGAAACUGCGAGUUUAAAAAGUUUACAAGGUCAGGUACUUCAGUAACACUAUCAGCAGAUUGGGAACGCUUAGGAGCUCCGUUAGACUCUUGCUGUUCACUACUGAAGGGUUGGGACUUAGACUAGCUCAGUAAGUGUUGGUCAACUACCUGCAACUGUGUAGUCACAAGAUCCUUCUGGCUUAGGGUAAAUCGUAAGUGGUCUAGUGAGGUCUUAGCCCUCAGUAAAGCUCACCUUACAAUGGUUGCAGCAGUUCUAACAUCCAAGAGCUUCUUAACCGUUGAUAUGUUUGUAUUAGCUCAAGAGCCUACUUUGAAGACGAUAGCAAAAAUUUGAGCUAAAUUACGUGAAAAUGUUUUUAUUGUUGUUAGUCUAGAUCCAAUCUGAUUAGACGAUAUAAAAACCUUAGGCAUUUUUAUAUGAAAAGCAGAUGGAUUUCAUUACAAAUCAAUCUUUCCGAGUUGGGAAUCAGAGAUAACAUAUCAGGAUAUGAGUGGGGAUUUACGCAAUGGGAUAAGCGGUUGUUUGAGUGCACAGACGUACAAAUCGAACGUGCUGUAAGUGAUUGAGCAGAAGUGGCGACGGAAGAGGAAAAUCUGCAUACAAAUCCGAAAUGCAAUGGAGUGGAUGUGCUCAUCUCCAUACAUAUGUAUGCACAUCUGUGCACGUUCAAGCUGUUGUGCUUGCGAAUACAAGUGUACUUACGCAUGUAGUUAUUGCUUUUGUGGAUGAGUAUCUAUGACGAUAUUGGGUAAAACGUUGGUAAUUCCACUUGAACGCAUCGGUUGCAAAAAAACUUUAUUUCUACAAAUACUUUUAUGUCAAUUCGGCACGCAAGGGCUAGAAGUCUUAACACGCGUGCACACAUUUGGAUGUGUAUUUAUAAGAGUUUUUAGAACAAUGCCACGCGACUGAGAACAAAAUGAGAACGAUGGAUGCGCUGUGUUGUGGGUGGAGAAACGGUCGUCGCUUUUACAAUUAUAGAUAUUCGUAGCAUACUUACAAGUGACGAUGCGUAUGCGAAAGAGGCACAUACCUUUAUAGAUGCUUACUAUUUUGGACAUGUCUGGCUUCAUAUCCAACAGAGUUGCCACGAAAUUAAGUUCUUGAUACCGAAACCCCUUGUAAAUGGCUAACGACCGGGGUGAGACCAAUUUUUAUAAUGAUAUGGCAAUGCCUACCAUUUUACCGAAUUUGAGCGGAGUCGACUCUUGCUGACUGAGUUUUGUACUAGAUACCACUCGAUAACACCGAAUUGGUAACCUUACUGUUGUGGAAUUAAAAAAAAAAACAAGAAAAAACCUCAACUUCGGCUGCACCGAAGCUAUUAUACCCUUGCAGGUGCAUUCCUCAUAUUAUUAAAGCUCUUUAUAUUGAUUUUUAUCGAUCGGUUUCUAUAGCAGCUAAGUAUAUGCUAUAGUUGUAUCGGAGGUUCCGUUUAUUAAGCAGCUUAUUGAGAAGAAAGUUUUUUGCAAAUUUUCAGAUCGUUAUCUCCAAAACUGAGUGAGUAUAGCGUAUCCGACGUUUCCUUCUGGGUGUUACUAACUUCGUGGCAAACUUAAUAUAUAUUUUUCCGAGUAUAAAAAUAUUUCAGCCACCAUUGAACUAGACGCUCACUGAAUCCGUCGACUGUUCGCUGAUGUUUCGGUACUUAAAUUAUAAUUAUGGGGAACUUGUAAGCAAGGAGCUGGGACCUAUAGAAGACCUUCUAUAGAAAUAAUAGUAGCAAUAUAAGACUAUUCUAAUUACAAAUAUGCUGUAGAAGGGAUAUCUAGUUUAAUAUUCUGUUAACCACUAUUUCAGAACUUGUAUAACCGGUUAUCGUUAGAGCUAUCUCUAGCAACAUGUGCUGUUAUUCCAGAUACAUCUCUAUAUGGGGAGAGUUUUCUUUCUCUCUCGGUUCUCAAAUUCAUUCGGAACUAAUCUGACAUAUUUAUCGACCGAUCUCGCUGAAGAAAAUUUUAGCUUAGUAUAUACGCCUAAAUUUAGGUAUUUCUCAAGCUGAGAUAAAAACAAUUAAAAACAUUUUUACCAUCCAUUUUUUAUAUGAUUUUUAUUGACAUUUAAAGAAUAUAAAAAAUAAAAUUGAGGAAAUGGCGUCGACUUGAAAAACAAUUUAUUUACUGCUUUAUUUUUGACCAAUUCGAGUUUUUUAAAAAUACUUAAAAUUAAAAUUUUC